rnacentral:rRNA from 1 species
CCUACGGGAGGCAGCAGUAGGGAAUCUUUCACAAUGGGCGAAAGCCUGAUGGAGCAACGCCGCGUGCAGGAUGAAGGCCUUCGGGUUGUAAACUGCUUUUAUAAGCGAGAAAUAUGAUGGUAACUUAUGAAUAAGGAUCGGCUAACUACGUGCCAGCAGCCGCGGUCAUACGUAGGAUCCGAGCAUUAUCCGGAGUGACUGGGUGUAAAGAGUUGCGUAGGUGGCAUAAUAAGUAGCUAGUGAAAUCGGGUGGCUCAACCAUUCAGACUAUUAGCUAAACUGUUAAGCUCGAGACCGUUAGGGGUAACUGGAAUGUCUAGUGUAGGAGUGAAAUCCGUAGAUAUUAGAAGGAACACCAAUAGCGUAGGCAGGUUACUGGGACGGUUCUGACACUAAGGCACGAAAGCGUAGGGAGCAAACGGGAUUAGAUACCCCAGUAGUC